rnacentral:sRNA from 1 species
GAAAAUCUAAGUAAAAAAUAAAUACUUGUGAUAAGACUUAUCUCUUAAAAAGAAAGUCUCAUUCAAAUGUGGGGGUUAAUUGCACAAGCAUUAAAACUAUUUGGGAACCCUGAAGUAUUUUUUUUUCUUACAAUCAUUCAAUCAGCUUUGUUAAUUUUUAUGGUCUUAAAAAUCAAUUGAACAGUUAGAUACAAUAAUGAAGAUGUUUGGAAUGCAUCAGUUAACAAAAAAGAUGCCCCAAAUGUGCUGCAGAACUUAAAUUUUCAUUAUUUAAUGAAGGGUUAUUUCACUCUUUAGAAAUAUCAAACUAUGAUCUGAAGUUAUUCUACUUGUAAUUGCUAUAAUAUGUCUACAUCUACUGAUUUAUCCAAUGUGAUUGCUUUCCAUGUGACAUUAUCUUUGUUUAGCUUAUCCUCUUAUUUUAUGAUUGUGAUUGCAGUAUCUACUGAGGUAUCCUCUUAUUUUAUGAUUGUGAUUGCAGUAUCUACUGAGGUAUCCUCUUAUUUUAUGAUUGUGAUUGCAGUAUCUACUGAGGUAUCCUCUUAUUUUAUGAUUGUGAUUGCAGUAUCUACUGAGGUAUCCUCUUAUUUUAUGAUUGUGAUUGCAGUAUCUACUGAGGUACUCAGUUUGAAGUACCUGAUACAUAUGUGAUAUUUUGCUGAAAGAUACAAAUUAUGUGUAAUUGCAUCUCAAAAAA